GCGGUGACUUGCUAACAGUCUCUGCGGAGGGGGAAUGAGGGGCUGAGGGAAGACCGCAACUGGGAGAGGCGGUAUCUCCGAGGCUGAGGGAUCCGAUCAGCUAGGAGCCGAAUGAGAAUUAACUGCUCAGGGUGGUUCCUCCGGCAUUUUGUGUGUGUACCCCUCUCAGCAUUAGCACCGUCAUCUCAUUGUCAUCUGUGGAUUCCAGCCAGGCAGAGAUGCAUUACCAUGUUCCCCUCACAGAACUCCGGGACACUGCGGGGCAAAGUUCUGGCAUUACCGUUUAUUUCUUCAAAUUCCUCCUGCAUGGCAAGACGUCAUUUGACCCAUUCAGCCCCUCUCUGCUGCCUUGCAUUUCUGCUAGAUUCAGAGUGUACUUUUUCACUAAAACAAUGACAUUUGCAUCAAUAAGCAACAUAACCUGUGGAUGUGCUGGUGGCAGCCUGCAAGAGUUGCCACAAUUUGCAGCACCAACUUAGCGUGCCCACAAUACUCAGCAGAACAACACAAAACACAGUAAAAUAGAAACACAGAAUGCAGUAAAAUAGAAACACAGAACUGUAAAAUAGAAACACAGAAUGCAGUAAAAUAGAAACACAGAACAGUAAAAUAGAAACACAGAACUGUAAAAUAGAAACAUAGAACACAGUAAAAUAGAAACACAGAACUGUAAAAUAGAAACACAGAAUGCAGUAAAAUAGAAACACAAAGUAGUGCAAAUAAUAGUGCAAAAACUGACAAAGUGUUCAUGGGUUCAUUGUCCAUUCAGAAGUCUGAUGGCAGAGGGGAAGAAGCUGUUCCUGAAAAAUUGAAUCAGCAUCUUGUAGCUCCUAAACACAAGGAAUUCUGCACAUGCUGGCAUUCCAAAGUAACAUCGAAAAAAUCCUGGAGGAUCUCAGCAGGUUAGGCAGCAUCCAUGGAAAUGCAUAUCGAGACCCUUCUUCAGGAUCAGAAAGGAAGGGGGAAGAAGCCAGAAUAAUAAGGUGGUGGGGUGGGGGAGGGGAGAAGAAGGAUAGCAAGAAAGUGAUAGAUGAAGCGAGUCAGGGUGAGUACAUGGUUGAAGAAUCGGAGGGCAGCAGAGGUCACAGAAGCGGAGCAGUGAGAGAGGGCCUCACUGAACUUCUGUUGAAGAGAAGUUUUAAACAUCUUCAGGAAAGACAUCACUCAAAGAGACCUUGCAGAGGAGCAGCAAAUCACAAACAGGAGAAAAUCUGCAGUUGCUGGAAAUCUAGAGCAACACACCUGUACCUUCUCUUUGAUGGUAGCAAUGAGAACAGGACAUGUCCUGGGUGAUGAGGGGGUGGGGGGCUUACCGAUUGAAGCUACCUUCCUGUGGCAUCACAUUUUGAAGGUGUUUGGGAUGCUGUGAAUGCUAGUGCCAAUGGUGGAGCUGGCUAAAUUUACAAAUUUCUGUAGCUUUUACUGACCCUGUGCAGUGGAGCCUCCAUACCAGACAUUAAUGCAACUGGUUAAAAAGCUCUACAUGGUACAUUUGUAAAAAUUUGAGAGCAUCUCAAAUAAUUGGUGACAUACCAAUUGUUGUUAAACUCCUAAUGAAGUAUA